rnacentral:rRNA from 1 species
UACGUAGGGUGCAAGCGUUAAUCGGAAUUACUGGGCGUAAAGCGUGCGCAGGCGGCUUUGCAAGACAGAUGUGAAAUCCCCGGGCUCAACCUGGGAACUGCAUUUGUGACUGCAAGGCUAGAGUACGGUAGAGGGGGAUGGAAUUCCGCGUGUAGCGGUGAAAUGCGUAGAUAUCGGGAGGAACACCAGUGGCGAAGGCGGGCACCUGGGCCGACACUGACGCUGAGGCGCGAAAGCUAGGGGAGCAAACAGG